rnacentral:rRNA from 1 species
AUUGAACGCUGGCGGCAGGCUUAACACAUGCAAGUCGAACGAGUGGCGGACGGGUGAGUAAUGCUUGGGAAUCUAGCUGAUGGAGGGGGAUAACUACGGGAAACUGUAGCUAAUACCGCGUACCAUAGGAUGAGCCCAGAUGGGAUUAGCUAGUUGGUGAGGUAAUGGCUCACCAAGGCGACGAUCCCUAGCUGGUCUGAGAGGAUGAUCAGCCACACGGGGACUGAGACACGGCCCAGCCUCCUACGGGAGGCAGCAGUGGGGAAUAUUGCACAAUGGGCGCAAGCCUGAUGCAGCCAUGCCGCGUGUAUGAAGAAGGCCCUAGGGUUGUAAAGUACUUUCAGCCGGGAGGCGUUACCGACAGAAGAAGCACCGGCUAACUCCGUGCCAGCAGCCGCGGUAAUUC